GUUCGCGUGGACAAACGGCAAAGUCAAUUGGCUCAAACCCAAUGUUUUUGUGGGUUCAAAUCCCACCGCGAAUACCA
rnacentral:tRNA from 1 species